rnacentral:rRNA from 1 species
CCUACGGGAUGCAGCAGUGAGGAAUAUUGGUCAAUGGGCGCGAGCCUGAACCAGGCAAGUAGCGUGAAGGAUGACUGACCUACGGGUUGUAAACUUCUUUUAUAAAUGUAUAAAGUGAGGCACGUGUGCCUUUUUUUAUGUACUUUAUGAAUAAGGAUCGUCUAACUCCGUGCCAGCAGCGGCGGUAAUUCGGAGGAUCCGAGUGUUAUCUGGAUUUAUUUGGUUUAAAGGGAGCGUCGAUGGGUUGUUAAGUAAGUUGUGAAAGUUUGCGGCUCAAGAGUAAGAUUGCAAUUGAUAAUGGCAGCCUUGAGUACAGUUGAGGUAGGUGGAAUUCGUGGUGUAGCGGUGAAAUGCUUAGAUAUCACGAAGAAC